GGCUGUGUGGUCUAGUGGUAUGAUUCUCGCUUGAGGUGCGUGAGGUCCCGAGUUCGGUUCUCGACUCAGCCC
rnacentral:tRNA from 1 species